rnacentral:tRNA from 1 species
GGGUCGGUGCCCGAGUGGUUAAUGGGGGCGGACUGUAAAUCCGCUGGCGCUUCCUACGUGGGGUCAAAUCCAACCCGGCCCA